UCGCGGAGAUGGGCGGCGCGUAAUUUGAAUUUUCGGUGAGAAGCAGUGCCGUGCCCUGUGAUAUCAAAUAUGAAAUGACACUAGCAACAACAGACGAAAUUUGAUUUUGGUCACCGUAACGGAUUCAUUUACGAAAGGAGUGACAUGAAGUACUUCACAGCUUCGAAUCCUGGAAUCCUUUUGGACUACUAUUACGGACGUGAGUGGAACGAAUUGAGCGCUUCUUCAAUUCCCUGAAUACGUAUCAUCUACACUUCAGUUUCGGUAAUAGUCUUCCAAGAUCCUCUAGGUCCAAAAGCUGCGGGAAAUUUCUGGUCGAGGGUCGACGAAGAGAAAACCUUUAAUGCAUGCUCUUGGGAAGAAAAGUGAAAGACACCGUUAAGAAUUGCGGCAAAAGGAUGCAAAGAAGUUAACAACAGUGGCAUUUGAAAAGAGUUAAGAAUAAUCCGACCGGAUUGAUCACAAAGCUUGCGGUCGAGGGCAAUCAUAUCAGGACAGAAGUAGCGAUUCUAGUGUUGCCAAAUUAACCGCUACUGCUCUGACGAGGUCGCGUUAUGUCACUGGCCGCGCAAUGAAUAUCAUGAGAUCGAAACAGCCCAUUGCCCCGAAGAUGGCCCAGCCGUCCAUUCCGCCCUCCGAGCGUAUACAUAUGUUUGCUCCAGAAGCCAGUAUAGUUCACUUAAAAAUUGCUCACUACAUUAAUAAAGCUCAAGCUAUGGUACACUGGACGUUAGUUUAUAAAAAUCGCCAAAGAACAGAUUGUGUGGACGUCUUUCGUCUGCAUUGCCACAAUCCACCGCAGUGCUCCACGAGUAUGUACAAUGAAAUCUAUUUGGGCUUCAAUAAAACAUCUUUUUAAAGUACCCCAACAGUAGAAAAUGGCAAGACAUUGUUCGGCUGCCCGUAUCAUCAUAGAUAAAGCCUAAGUUCGAUAGGAGCCCUGCUAAACGUUCAUUGAAAUUUAUCAGAAAUAUUUGGGUACAACAGAUGAUAGCCCUUUGCCCUUUUAACUCAAAUUGUUGCCAUAUCAGGCAUAUCAUAGAUAUUCGGACACUCCCCGCCAGUUAGUCCGAGAAGUGAGCGUCUUUCUUUCAUAAUAAUCGCCUUUGGACUUCAAUGAAGAAUGCGGGUAGAAGGCUACUUGCAGCUACGGCGGAAUAAAUCAAAUAGAAUAAUUGUGAUAGAAAGAUAGAAACAGGUUUUCUUGUCACGUUUUGUCCUGAAUUUAAGCCUUGCCUUCAUAAUGCUCGAUCAGUUGAAAUGAGCUACAGAUAUUUAUUGGCCAAUUGAUCAGUAAAAUGAUAAAUAUAUAGAAAAAACGUAAGAUUACUAUAUAUACUACUAACGGCGAUUAUACCAUAAAUCAGUAACGACGCACAUAGUGUCAUACGUAACUUAUAUCAAAUAUAUAUUUGUUCAGUUUAAACAUGCAGAAUAAUCCAUUAUGUGACAUAGAUAACCGAAAAUACAGUCGCAAUAAAUCAAGUUAAAUUCUCAGCGAUUUUAGACAUUUGUGUACGUGUCGGGCUCAUAUCGUCAGCUGAUUUCUUACUAUAGAUUUUGCAGGGAUAGCAGUGCUUGAAGUUAGGUGUUCUUUAUGUUUCGAGAUUUUCGUAUGGAACUACCUUCGUUAAGCAUGCUUUACACAGUUAACUUUCGGAACUGAAGGCCGUGCGUUUCCCGCGCCAACGCCAUCACCCCGUGCGUCUCUAGCCUUAAUACGCUACCACACGACAUCAGGCGAGUAACCUUACAUCUGAGCAUUCUAUCAUACUGCAUGAACUUUUCCCAACCAUCCUUCUAGUGUUUAGGCCGGCGACACCGAAAUAUUCAGUCACUACAAGAUCUUUCGCUGGUCUGACGUGGUAAUGGACAAAAGCUUGUGCUGUCUUCAGUGCCCAACCGUGAUGGAGGUACUCGCUGCUGCUGCUGCUGCUGCUGCUUUAAAUGAUUGAAAAUCACGUAUUUCGCCGAACAGACCUCUUGGCUUCUUACGCGGAAUAGGUCUAGUAUCGCUUCUUUUCAGGAUGUUAGGUUCUAGCUGCGCAACACUGAUAUCGUUUACUGUAAUAUCUCGUAUUGUCUGGGCCCUUCUGGCUUUUGUCAGGUUAAGCAAGUAAGUGCCUGAAGCUUAAGCUUACCAACAAAACGGACCAGCCGAAACCCUCAGCUGUUUCGUCUAGGAGAUUUGUUUCAUGAACCCUGCAUGCAGCAGCAGGAAUAUGCUGAAUUUGCCUACGAGAUCAUUCAAAUGCAGUGUAUAACUGUGGAAGAUAAAGUUCGCUCGUGGACGCGAACUGCAGAAGUGACUGGGCAGAUAGGAAAUGCUGGUCUAACGCAGUCGUCUAAUAAGGUUUGAGUGAUAGUUUCAAUACGACAAGUUAAUGUAUAUUCGCUCGAAUCAGUCCAUGCUUCAUUGAUCCAUGAAUGUGUACUUUAUAUAUUUCAUUCUAAAUAAACAUUUAUAACAUCAAAAGGUUGUUUGUAGUUUUUUUACAUUUAAUGACGCUUGUUUUUUAUCCUUGUAAUUCAUAUACGUUGCACGUUCGUCUGGAACUUCACCGAGAGACGCUUGCUCAGACAACGUUUCAAGUUUUCCACGCUGAAGCCUUUUCCGCUCGAUGAAUCUUCAAACAAUAAUGCGUGAAAACAUUACUAACCCAUAACGUAGCUGCUGGAAGAUACAUUUGCUACUAAAUUGCCGUUUUGGUCAA
rnacentral:lncRNA from 1 species